CUUCGUAGCGUUGCUGGAGGGAAGGCAGAAACCCAGUGAGCAGAAGGGGUGCUGCGGCUGAGGUCAGUGGCGAGCACUGGGCAUGGUGCUCCUACAGCCCCGUUGUCCUACCGCGGCUUGGAGAAGGGGGCGGGAGGUGAAGCCCCAGCUGCAGUGUUUCAGGCACGGCUGCAGCUUUGGGGGUAAGAGGUGCAACAGAAACGAGCACAGCGUAUGAGGGGGUGUUCCUUAGCGCCUGCUGAUGGGCGUGGGGAGCCGGAGUCCUGCUCUUAACAAACACUUCAGACUGAUCCCUCCGUGGACACAGCCAGGUCCUGGGGGCCGCGGUGGCAGAGACAGGAGGUGCACUGCAAAAGCGUCUGCUCUUAGAAACUUAAUGUUGUGUGAAACACUUGUAAUUGCAAGGAACGGGGCCAACAUGUCCAUCCCUAGUGACUUUACCAGGCGCAGACUGCGAUAAUUGCGGCUGUGAUUUCAGUUAAGAUGAUGGGAAAUGGCUGGGAUCCUGAACCUCAGCUCACCGGAGGCACGGUGGCGGUGGGGUGUGCUGUGCCGUGCUGUGCCAUGGGCAUUGCUGGGGCGAUGCUGCCCGGACAGCCGUGUGCCGGGGCCCUGCUGCUGAGCUGCGUGGGGGCAGAGCUGAGCCACGCGUCACGGCAGCCCAGGGGGUGAGAUUCGUGCCCGCUCUCUGGAAAACACACGCACUUGGAAGUAUUCUGGCAAUAACAGCGUUGCAUGGAAGAUGACGCAAGAGAGGAGAAAAUCAGGAGAGCUCUUGGGGGCGGCUGUCCCCAGGGCCCAGUGAGCUCUGCGAGUGCAGCUGGGGCGGGAGGCGCGGGGACUGUGCGCCUCGGUAGCGUUCAUGUUGAUUUCUUGCUACAGGACCGCUGUGGAUUGGUACGAUAACUGUGCUUAAAGCGCAGCUUUAAUGUUUGCUUUGGUGUUGCAAACAACUGCUUUGGUUACAUGAAAAACUGAAGACAGACAAAGCAUUUUUGCUUUCAAAGACUCAUUAAUUGCAGCUGCAAGCUGAGGUGCCGGUGAGGGAGGAAUCCUCAGCAAGCUCCUGUCUUGCUUUUGUUGUUGUUGAUGUUCUGGUUGCAUUUCACAAAUGUUUCUAAGAAUUUGAGUUUACGUUGUAUGAAUGUUUUAAGAAAGUGUAAUUGAAAUUCCCUUUCCAAUGCUAGGCGAAGAUGAUUCAUACAUCACUGUUAUUUUCUGUAUAAUAAACAAGAUGGAAAGCUAGGGUUGAGGAGCUGG
rnacentral:lncRNA from 1 species